rnacentral:misc_RNA from 1 species
GAUGAAGAACGUAGCGAAAUGCGAUACUUGGUGUGAAUUGCAGAAUCCCGUGAACCAUCGAGUCUUUGAACGCAAGUUGCGCCCGAAGCCAUUAGGCCGAGGGCACGCCUGCCUGGGCGUCACACGUCGUUGCCCCCCCGUCUACUCCUUCGGGAUUGCGGGGGGCGGAUGAUGGCCUCUCGUGCGCCUCGUCGCGCGGUUGGCCUAAAUGCCAAGUCCUCGGCGACGCACGCCACGACAAUCGGUGGUUGCGAAACCUCGGUUGCCUGUCGUGUGCGGUCGUCGCGCAUCGAGGGCUCGAAAAAAUUGCCGGGCUUCGGCUCGACUUUCAACGCGACCCCAGGUCAGGCGGGGUUACCCGCUGAAUUUAAGCAUAUCAAUAAGCGGAGGA